rnacentral:rRNA from 1 species
UACGUAGGGUGCAAGCGUUAAUCGGAAUUACUGGGCGUAAAGCGUGCGCAGGCGGUUGUGCAAGACCGAUGUGAAAUCCCCGGGCUCAACCUGGGAACUGCAUUUGUGACUGCAUGGCCAGAGUACGGUAGAGGGGGAUGGAAUUCCGCGUGUAGCAGUGAAAUGCGUAGAUAUGCGGAGGAACACCGAUGGCGAAGGCAAUCCCCUGGACCUGUACUGACGCUCAUGCACGAAAGCGUGGGGAGCAAACAGG